rnacentral:rRNA from 1 species
UACCAGACUCCUACGGGAGGCAGCAGUGAGGAAUAUUGGUCAAUGGCCGGAAGGCUGAACCAGCCAAGUCGCGUGAGGGACGACUGCCCUAUGGGUUGUAAACCUCUUUUAUAAGGGAAGAAUAAAUGCUACGUGUAGCAUGAUGCCUGUACCUUAUGAACAAGCAUCGGCUAACUCCGUGCCAGCAGCCGCGGUAAUACGGAGGAUGCGAGCGUUAUCCGGAUUUAUUGGGUUUAAAGGGUGCGCAGGCGGCGUGUCAAGUCAGCGGUAAAAUGUCGGGGCUCAACCCCGGCCGGCCGUCGGAACUGCCGGGCUAGAGUGGGCGAGAAGUGCGCGGAAUGCGUGGUGUAGCGGUGAAAUGCAUAGAUAUCACGCAGAACUCCGAUUGCGAAGGCAGCGCACCGGCGCCCUACUGACGCUCAGGCACGAAAGCGUGGGUAUCGAACAGGAUUAGAUACCCGUGUA